UGCCCACUCUGCACAACGCUGUCCUCCACUCGUCCUCUGAGGGCUUGAGAGGAUGUUUGGUUUGCAAUCAUUUUUCCUUGUGGUUCAAAGGAAUCACAGGCAGAAGCCUCAUAUAUAAAAAUAUGUAAAAUCCGCUUUGGGCUGGAAUCUCAGAUCCCCGAACCCUGUGCCGCAGACAUCUCCGAUCUGUACCUGCUCCCCGCCCACCCCCAGGAGGUGUCGUCUGGGGAUCUCUGAGUGUGGCUGUGCAGCACGUGCGUGAUGGGAAGGGGAGCGGCCAUCCUGGAGCCACCCCCAGGAAGCCCCAUUCCCUGUCCAGGUGGGAGCGUGGGCCCUUCUUCUGAGCUCCGUUCUGAAGCCUUUCCCGUUCUGCAAGUGUCCAAGCUGCUGCUGGCAAGCCUUCCUCCUUGAGCCUUCAGGACAGAUGCCUGGACGGGAGUUUGUCCUUCAGCCGCGUUUAGCAGCAAGGAGACAGACAGUUCAUAAAAGAAUGUUUGCUGAACUGGACUGAACUGAGUCACUGUGCAUCCGUGACGUGAUGCUACCAGCGAAACAGUUGCUCAGCUGUGUCUAACUCCUUGAGACCUCAUGGAAUGAAGCC